CCUACGGGUGGCUGCAGUGGGGAAUAUUGGACAAUGGGCGAAAGCCUGAUCCAGCCAUGCCGCGUGUGUGAAGAAGGCCUUCGGGUUGUAAAGCACUUUCAGUGGGGAAGAAAGCCUUGGGGCUAAUACCCUCGAGGAAGGACAUCACCCACAGAAGAAGCACCGGCUAACUCCGUGCCAGCAGCCGCGGUAAUACGGAGGGUGCGUGCGUUAAUCGGAAUUACUGGGCGUAAAGCGCGCGUAGGCGGUCUGAUAAGCCGGUUGUGAAAGCCCCGGGCUCAACCUGGGAACGGCAUCCGGAACUGUCAGGCUAGAGUGCAGGAGAGGAAGGUAGAAUUCCCGGUGUAGCGGUGAAAUGCGUAGAGAUCGGGAGGAAUACCAGUGGCGAAGGCGGCCUUCUGGACUGACACUGACGCUGAGGUGCGAAAGCGUGGGUAGCAAACAGGAUUAGAUACCCUUGUAGUC
rnacentral:rRNA from 1 species